CAAAUUAGAGCUUGAUUAUAAGUAUUUCAUUUACAUUGGAAAGAUAUUAGUUUAAUAAUUAGUUUGA
rnacentral:tRNA from 1 species